rnacentral:rRNA from 1 species
GAUGAACGCUGGCGGCGUGCCUAAUACAUGCAAGUCGAGCGAACGGACGAGAAGCUUGCUUCUCUGAUGUUAGCGGCGGACGGGUGAGUAACACGUGGAUAACCUACCUAUAAGACUGGGAUAACUUCGGGAAACCGUAGCUAAUACCGGAUAAUAUUUUGAACCGCAUGGUUCAAAAGUGAAAGACGGUCUUGCUGUCACUUAUAGAUGGAUCCGCGCUGCAUUAGCUAGUUGGUAAGGUAACGGCUUACCAAGGCAACGAUGCAUAGCCGACCUGAGAGGGUGAUCGGCCACACUGGAACUGAGACACGGUCCAGACUCCUACGGGAGGCAGCAGUAGGGAAUCUUCCGCAAUGGGCGAAAGCCUGACGGAGCAACGCCGCGUGAGUGAUGAAGGUCUUCAGUUCGUAAAACUCUGUUAUUAGGGAAGAACAGAUGUGUAAGUAACUGCGCACAUCUUGACGGUACCUAAUCAGAAAGCCACGGCUAACUACGUG